UGCCCGAAGGAGGCCAGGGGCAUCCUUGGGGCUCCUGUGAAGAGGGGCUCAGCACGCUCUGUAUCUUACCUUCUCUGCCUUUGGACUGCUCCAUUCUGAAAGACUCCACAGAAAUGCUCCAGUAGUUGGGCCUGCCUAUCUUGCCUUCGUUAAGCUUUACUCUGCCUGACAUGCCAGCAGGACACAACAGCCUUGCAAUGGGAGGGCACCAUUUCAGAAAACUGCUCUGAAGAUUUCUUUGUUAUGUUAACUAUAAAAGAGGAUGUAAGCUAAAGAUCGGUGUUCCUCUGAAUGAGAAGAAGCCCUUUUGUCUGAAUAUUCUGAUAAAUUGCAAUAAAAUGAUCUUUCUUUC